GCCCUUAUCGUCUAGU
rnacentral:tRNA from 1 species